GUGGUGGUGGAUGACACUGUGCCAAGAUGAGAACAAGGUGAAGGCUGUGCACAUACCUGGAGGAAGGGUGUCUCAGACAGAGAACUCAGAAUAUUGCAGCAGGAAAAAGACUGCUAUCCAGAGAACAGAGCAAACAGCUGGUGGGAAGGGUGGAAGUCCUUCUGACAUGAGGCUAGCAACCUCUUGAGUGGUCUUGGUCGGCGAAGGCAGGAGUCUGUUUGUACCCUCGUAGCUCCCACUGAGCCAUGGCUCCCACUGUGCCGAGGAAGAAACUGAAAGCCUGAGGUCAUAUAGCUGAGACCUGGUCAGCCUUCCUCAGACCUGACUUUUCCAUCUUCCAGAACCAGCCUUGGCCUGACCUCUGCUCCCCCAGACUCUGCAUGGGAACUGCAACCCAGCAGAGUUGCUUCUGGUCUCUGUCCAACAUUAAAAUGGUCUAGGGAGGUGUGGAAUUGAGGUUAUUUUGUCUAAGAAGCUUCCUGUACCCUGACCAAUCCCAGUUUUGUUCCAAAUGGAUUAUGGGAGUAAAGGUUGGAAGACAUGGUGUUUACUGUCCCCAUUUUAUCAAGGAUGGAAUUGAGUCUGGAAAAACGAAACAAUUUGCCUAGUCUGGACUUUAACCUAAACCUCUGACUCCAGAUCUCAGGACUUUCCACUAGAUGUUGCCCUUGGCGUCGAGGGGAGGUGCCCUUGCUUCACUCCUCAGCUUGAGUUUCUCCAGCUCCCUCAGUUCCUGCACCGUCCUGAUGGUCACCUGGUUCUUCCUGUUGUCGUCCGCGAAGAUGGGAGUACAGCAGAUGAAGGAGCAGCCGCAGAGACAACAAGCUGCCGGCCUCCUCGGACCCCGGACUCUCAUCAGGACACGGUGGCCUGGCCGGAACCCUUCUCUCCGCGCCUGCCCUGCCGUCAGAAGUU